rnacentral:rRNA from 1 species
UCGCCCUUCAAGUUUGAUCCUGCUCUUGAUGAUCUCUGGCGGCGUGCCUCAGCAUGCAAGUCGAGCGGGGCUAUGUUGGACCGUAAGGGAAGAUAUCGCCUACCGGCGAACGGGUGAGUAACAGGUGGGUAACCUACCUGUAACACAGGGAUUACGAUUCCAAAGGGUCGCUGAUACCUGAUAAUAUCUGAUCCUCGGAUGGCACUUCGAAGAAGGGGGAAACCCGCUUUCAGAUGGGCCCGCGUCCCAUCAGCUAGUUUGUAAGGUAAUGGCUUACCCUGGCGACUACCGGUAUCCAGUCUGAUAUGAUGUACGGCCACACUGGUACUGAGAUACAGCCCACACUCCUACUGGAGGCAGCAUUUGGGAAUCUUAUGCAGUGGGCGAAAGCCUGACCUAUCUACCCCCCGCGGCGGAAGAAUGCCUUCCGGUCAUAUACCUCUAUCAUGGGGGACUAACGAAGUGACUGUACCCCUGCAUGACGCCCCUGCUGCCUAUCUGCCAGCAGCCGCGGUAAUACGUACGGGGCUAGCGUUAUCCUGAAUUAUUGUGCGUGCUGGGCGAGUAGGCUGUCUGUUAAGUCUUGUGU